UUGCUAUAAAGAUACCUGAAAAUAUGGAAGCAACUUUGGAACUGGAUAACAAGCAGAGACUGGAACAGUUUGGGGGGCUCAGAAGAAGGCAGGAAAAGGUG